AAAGUCACGUGAAAUGAGCAGAUGUUCAGACUGUGCAGAGACUCGCCGUGCGGUGCAUUACUCUGCAGAGAGAGCGCGGAGGAGCUUUGCUUUCACACUGACACGAGCUAUAAGAGACCGUUAGUCCCGCAUCCAGAUCAUCCAGUAGGUUUGAUUAAAAUGGAUUUAUAAAAGGGCCACCUGCAGGGAGGGAUAUGGAUCUGACUGACAGCCGCGCUCAGACAAAGCAGGAGUGUCGGUACAGAACGCUGACUCAUGACAUGUGGCGUCAGGAUCCUUCAGUCCACCGACAGAGGAGACACCUGAUCAGAUGACCAAGACAAUGACGUCAGGAACAACAACAGUAACAAUAUGGUGCUGGCUUCAUCCUUCGUCCACAAUAGAGGACUGACUGUUUGUGACCUUAGUGCUAAAUCAAGUUCAAAGAGGACCGCCGGUAUUUGGCAGCUAGUUUUACAUGAGGGCAGAGGGAGAAACAGCGUGUUUGGUCAACCUCUGGCUCCCCCUUUGAUUCACAGCUCUCUGUGACCCCUGGCAGAGCGACACCACUUAAAGCCAUAUUCAUUCAGUCACACUGGUCAGUCUGAUAAGAUCUGGGUGAUAACCGACUUUACUUUCAGUCUCUGUGAAGUUAAUCAAAUUAGUUUUACUAGUCAGCACUUGAACACAAAUAUUCCACCCUUCUUUUUUUAAUGCACAGUUGCAAAUCAGGAAAAUCCUUUGGCAAUGUCGCAUAGAACAGUCACUCAAGUAAAAGACAGAAAUUAGAUUAGAGAAAUGUUAUAUGAAACAGUAACUGUGAGUGGUUGGACUCCUGAGGAAUGAGCCCACACUGUCACUGAAGAAUACUUUCACUCAGGCCUUUAUUAAUUAAAGCAGAGUUUAGGUUACAUGAAUACUAACAGGUUUAGAGGAACUGGAUACAUUUUGCAUGCUCAAAAUGUUGAGAGCUUCAUUCCAUUUAUACCUACAGCAUGAUUGUUUAAAUUCAUCUUGUGCCUGACUUCAGCCGCUGGCAUAUGUUUCUUUUGUAUUCAUCCCACGGAAAUAAAAGAGGAAAUGAAGCUUAAAUUGCUGAUGCAAUGAAUCAGAUCCUUGUUUAUCAUUUAAAAGAUCUACUUUCGGUGCAGCUGAUUGGCAGCCGUUCACUUUUCCCUUUCUAAAAUAUAUGAACAAGAUGUCAAAACCCACAGCAUCUACCGUGUGAAAGCAGCAGUUUAGUCUGGGCCACGUUAUGCUGUUUUUGAACCAAAUAGUCUGGUACCAGUGUUACAUUAUCCAAGAGCAGAAGAAAUGCAUGUGGCACAUUAACUUUCCACAGACAACGUCUGAAUACAACUGGAAACCCAUCAGGAAAAACAGCAACGUGUUUAUUUUGUAUUACAAGUGUAUUAUCACAUUAUAAGAAUGAAUAAUGUAUUGUGAUUAGGCUGCUGUUUUCUCUGGACAAAACUCAAAGUAUUAAUAAAAUAAUACUCCGAA